UACCUUUCAGAAGCAUGGCUGCAGUUG
rnacentral:piRNA from 1 species